UGCGCUCCCUCGCAUGCUUGCUCUACGCGCCUGCAGAGCUGUGGGCCCUGUCUAAGGCGUGAGAGUAAGAUGACUGUGUUUAUGGAGGAAAUGACAGGCGAGAAAUGUAAACCAGGCAUCUAGUGGGGAAAUCAGAAAAGCCUCCAGGGAGGACCUGCUGUUUGCGAUAGACCUUAAAGGGUGGAAGGAAGUGCACAGAACGGAAGACUGUCUGCAGAAGGAGCCGCUCCAUGAAAGGAAGCAUAGGCUAGGUGCUGGGCUCACACCACUCCAGAGGCAGGGGCCAGCCAGGGCUACACAGAGUGACCCUGCCCUUAAAACAAACAAAUACAAAUCCAAAAAGACCCUGCAGGGAUGGUUCAUGGGAAGGGUAGAAGAUCUGUAGUGCCGGGAUGUAGAACUGAAGUCAUGUGUACAAACUGAAGGUUCCUCUCCUGACUUCUCUCAGUAAUGGACUGUUGCCUGAAGAUGUAAAUGAAAGUUCCUUUGCCCUGCAAGUUGCUUUGGUC
rnacentral:lncRNA from 1 species